AGAAUACAACGCUGGCGGCGUGCCUCAGACAUGCAAGUCGAACGCGAAAGUCCCCUUCCGGGGAGUGAUUAGAGUGGCGCACGGGUGAGUAACACGUAGGUAAUCUACCUUCGAGUGGGGAAUAACUCAGGGAAACUUGAGCUAAUACCGCAUAAUGCAGCGGCACCACAUGGUGACAGUUGUUAAAGCAUUUAUGCGCUUGAAGAGGAGCCUGCGGCAGAUUAGCUAGUUGGUAAGGUAAUGGCUUACCAAGGCUACGAUCU
rnacentral:rRNA from 1 species